rnacentral:rRNA from 1 species
GGGGGGGGGGGGCUAUACAUGCAGUCGAGCGAACAGAUAAGGAGCUUGCUCCUUUGACGUUAGCGGCGGACGGGUGAGUAACACGUGGGUAACCUACCUAUAAGACUGGGAUAACUUCGGGAAACCGGAGCUAAUACCGGAUAACAUUUGGAACCGCAUGGUUCUAAAGUGAAAGAUGGUUUUGCUAUCACUUAUAGAUGGACCCGCGCCGUAUUAGCUAGUUGGUAAGGUAACGGCUUACCAAGGCAACGAUACGUAGCCGACCUGAGAGGGUGAUCGGCCACACUGGAACUGAGACACGGUCCAGACUCCUACGGGAGGCAGCAGUAGGGAAUCUUCCGCAAUGGGCGAAAGCCUGACGGAGCAACGCCGCGUGAGUGAUGAAGGGUUUCGGCUCGUAAAACUCUGUUAUUAGGGAAGAACAAACGUGUAAGUAACUGUGCACGUCUUGACGGUACCUAAUCAGAAAGCCACGGCUAACUACGUGCCAGCAGCCGCGGUAAUACGUAGGUGGCAAGCGUUAUCCGGAAUUAUUGGGCGUAAAGCGCGCGUAGGCGGUUUCUUAAGUCUGAUGUGAAAGCCCACGGCUCAACCGUGGAGGGUCAUUGGAAACUGGGAAACUUGAGUGCAGAAGAGGAAAGUGGAAUUCCAUGUGUAGCGGUGAAAUGCGCAGAGAUAUGGAGGAACACCAGUGGCGAAGGCGACUUUCUGGUCUGUAACUGACGCUGAUGUGCGAAAGCGUGGGGAUCAAACAGGAUUAGAUACCCUGGUAGUCCACGCCGUAAACGAUGAGUGCUAAGUGUUAGGGGGUUUCCGCCCCUUAGUGCUGCAGCUAACGCAUUAAGCACUCCGCCUGGGGAGUACGACCGCAAGGUUGAAACUCAAAGGAAUUGACGGGGACCCGCACAAGCGGUGGAGCAUGUGGUUUAAUUCGAAGCAACGCGAAGAACCUUACCAAAUCUUGACAUCCUUUGAAAACUCUAGAGAUAGAGCCUUCCCCUUCGGGGGACAAAGUGACAGGUGGUGCAUGGUUGUCGUCAGCUCGUGUCGUGAGAUGUUGGGUUAAGUCCCGCAACGAGCGCAACCCUUAAGCUUAGUUGCCAUCAUUAAGUUGGGCACUCUAGGUUGACUGCCGGUGACAAACCGGAGGAAGGUGGGGAUGACGUCAAAUCAUCAUGCCCCUUAUGAUUUGGGCUACACACGUGCUACAAUGGACAAUACAAAGGGCAGCUAAACCGCGAGGUCAUGCAAAUCCCAUAAAGUUGUUCUCAGUUCGGAUUGUAGUCUGCAACUCGACUACAUGAAGCUGGAAUCGCUAGUAAUCGUAGAUCAGCAUGCUACGGUGAAUACGUUCCCGGGUCUUGUACACACCGCCCGUCACACCACGAGAGUUUGUAACACCCGAAGCCGGUGGAGUAACCAUUUAUGGAGCUAGCCGUCGAAGUGACAAAG